GUGCUUGCUUCAGCAGCACAUAUACUAAAAUUGGAAUGAUACAGAGAAGAUUAGCAUGG
rnacentral:snRNA from 1 species